rnacentral:rRNA from 1 species
GACGAACGCUGGCGGCGUGCUUAACACAUGCAAGUCGAACGGAAAGGCCCUGCUUUCGCGGGGUGCUCGAGUGGCGAACGUGUGUGUAACACGUGAGUAACCUGCGCUUGACUUUGUGAUAACUUCAGGAAACUGGGGCUACUACCGGAUAGGAGCUCCUGCUGCAGGGUGGGGGUCGGACAGCUUCGGCGGUUGGGGAUGGAUUCGCGGCUUAUCAGCUUGUUGGUUGGGUAGUGGCUUACCAAGGCUUCGAUGGGUAGCCGGCCUGAGAGGGUGACCGGCCACAUUGGGACUGAGAUACGGCCCAGACUCCUACGGGAGGCAGCAGUGGGGAAUAUUGCACAGUGGGCGGAAGCCUGAUGCAGCAACGCCGCGUGCGGGAUGACGGCCUUCGGGUUGUAAACCGCUUUCGCCUGUGACGAAGCGGGAGUGACGGUAAUGGGUAAAGAAGCACCGGCUAACUACGUG